UACGUAGGGUGCGAGCGUUAAUCGGAAUUACUGGGCGUAAAGCGUGCGCAGGCGGUUUUGUAAGCCAGAUGUGAAAGCCCCGGGCUUAACCUGGGAAUGGCAUUUGGGACUGCAAGGCUUGAGUGCGGCAGAGGAGACUGGAAUUCCCGGUGUAGCAGUGAAAUGCGUAGAUAUCUGGAGGAAUACCGGUGGCGAAGGCGGCAUCCUGGACCGGCAUUGACGCUGAGGAGCGAAAGCCAGGGGAGCAAACGGG
rnacentral:rRNA from 1 species